rnacentral:rRNA from 1 species
GAUGAACGCUAGCGGCAGGCUUAAUACAUGCAAGUCGUGGGGCAGCAUGAGUAGCAAUACUUGAUGGCGACCGGCAAACGGGUGAGGAACACGUACACAACCUUCCUUCAAGCGGGGAAUAGCCCAGAGAAAUUUGGAUUAAUACCCCAUAAUAUAUUUGAUAAGGCAUCUUAUUAAUAUUAAAGCUUCGGCACUUGAUGAUGGGUGUGCGGCUGAUUAGAUAGUUGGCGGGGUAACGGCCCACCAAGUCUACGAUCAGUAGCUGAUGUGAGAGCAUGAUCAGCCACACGGGCACUGAGACACGGGCCCCGACUCCUACGGGAGGCAGCAGUAAGGAAUAUUGGACAAUGGACGAAAGUCUGAUCCAGCCAUGCCGCGUGAAGGAUUAAGGUCCUCUGGAUUGUAAACUUCUUUUAUAUGGGACGAAAAAGGGCAUUCUUGUUCACUUGACGGUACCAUAUGAAUAAGCACCGGCUAACUCCGUGCCAG